rnacentral:rRNA from 1 species
UUCGGGGGGCAAGUAGAGUGGCGCACGGGUGAGUAACACGUAGGUAAUCUACCUUCGGGUGGGGAAUAACAAUCGGAAACGGUUGCUAAUACCGCAUAAUGCAGCGGCACCUAAUGGUGACAGUUGUUAAAGCGGGGGAUCGAAAGAUCUCGCGCCUGAAGAGGAGCCUGCGGCGGAUUAGCUAGUUGGUAGGGUAAUGGCCUACCAAGGCGACGAUCCGUAGCCGGCCUGAGAGGGCGGUCGGCCACACUGACACUGACAUACGGGUCAGACUCCUACGGGAGGCAGCAGUCGGGAAUUUUGGGCAAUGGGCGAAAGCCUGACCCAGCAGCGCCGCGUGAAGGAUGAAAUCCCUCGGGAUGUAAACUUCGCAAGAACGGGAAGAAUUAGUGGAAGUUAAUACCUUCCAUGAUGACGGUACCGUUUGUAAGCUCCGGCUAACUCCGUGCCAGCAGCCGCGGUAAUACGGGGGGAGCAAGCGUUGUUCGGAUUUACUGGGCGUAAAGGGCGCGUAGGCGGCCUCCGCAAGUCAGUUGUGAAAUCUCCGAGCUUAACUCGGAAAGGUCAACUGAUACUGCGGGGCUAGAGUGCGGAAGGGGCAACUGGAAUUCUUGGUGUAGCGGUGAAAUGCGUAGAUAUCAAGAGGAACACCUGCGGCGAAGGCGGGUUGCUGGGCCGACACUGACGCUGAGGCGCGAAAGCUAGGGGAGCGAACGGGAUUAGAUACCCCGGUAGUCCUAGCCUUAAACGAUGAAUGCUUGGUGUCUGGGGUUAUAUAGUCCCCGGGUGCCGUCGCUAACGCUUUAAGCAUUCCGCCUGGGGAGUACGGUCGCAAGACUG